AACGCUGGCGGCAUGCCUUACACAUGCAAGUCGAACGGCAGCACGGGAGCAAUCNUGGUGGCGAGUGGCGAACGGGUGAGUAAUACAUCGGAACGUGCCCUGUCGUGGGGGAUAACUAGUCGAAAGAUUAGCUAAUACCGCAUACGACCUGAGGGUGAAAGCGGGGGACCGUAAGGCCUCGCGCGAUAGGAGCGGCCGAUGUCUGAUUAGCUAGUUGGUGGGGUAAAGGCCCACCAAGGCGACGAUCAGUAGCUGGUCUGAGAGGACGAUCAGCCACACUGGGACUGAGACACGGCCCAGACUCCUACGGGAGGCAGCAGUGGGGAAUUUUGGACAAUGGGGGCAACCCUGAUCCAGCAAUGCCGCGUGUGUGAAGAAGGCCUUCGGGUUGUAAAGCACUUUUGUCCGGAAAGAAAUCCCCUGCUCUAAUACAGCGGGGGGAUGACGGUACCGGAAGAAUAAGCACCGGCUAACUACGUGCCAGCAGCCGCGGUAAUACGUAGGGUGCGAGCGUUAAUCGGAAUUACUGGGCGUAAAGCGUGCGCAGGCGGUUUUGUAAGACAGGCGUGAAAUCCCCGAGCUCAACUUGGGAAUGGCGCU
rnacentral:rRNA from 1 species